rnacentral:rRNA from 1 species
CCCUUAGAUGUCCGGGGCCGCACGCGCGCUACACUGAAGGAAUCAGCGUGGCUUUCUCCCUGACCCGAAAGGGUUGGGAAACCCGUUGAAUCUCCUUCGUGAUAGGGAUUGGGGCUUGAAAUUGUUCCCCAUGAACGAGGAAUUCCCAGUAAGCGCGAGUCAUAAGCUCGCGUUGAUUACGUCCCUGCCCUUUGUACACACCGCCCGUCGCUACUACCGAUUGAACGGUUUAGUGAGGGCCUCGGAUUGGUCUCGGCCCGCUCUUUACCGGGCGGCGCCGUUGGUCGAGAAGACGCUCGAACUUGAGCGUUUAGAGGAAGUAAAAGUCGUAACA